AAUAGAUACCCAGGUAGUCCAUGCCGUAAACGUUGGGCACUAGGUGUGGGGACAUUCCACGUUCUCCGCGCCGUAGCUAACGCAUUAAGUGCCCCGCCUGGGGAGUACGGUCGCAAGGCUAAACUCAAAGGGAAUUGACGGGGCCCGCACAAGCGGCGGAGCAUGCGGAUUAAUUCGAUGCAACGCGAAGAACCUUACCAAGGCUUGACAUACACUGGACCGUUCUGGAAACAGUUCUUCUCUUUGGAGCUGGUGUACAGGUGGUGCAUGGUUGUCGUCAGCUCGUGUCGUGAGAUGUUGGGUUAAGUCCCGCAACGAGCGCAACCCUCGUUCUAUGUUGCCAGCACGUGAUGGUGGGAACUCAUAGGAGACUGCCGGGGUCAACUCGGAGGAAGAUGGGGAUGACGUCAAAUCAUCAUGCCCUUUAUGUCUUGGGCUUCACGCAUGCUACAAUGGCUGGUACAGAGAGAGGCGAACCCGUGAGGGUAAGCGAAUCCCUUAAAGCCAGUCUCAGUUCGGAUCGU
rnacentral:rRNA from 1 species